rnacentral:lncRNA from 1 species
AACUAUUCUCAAAGUAUCCGUAGUCAAGCUUUAUUGAGAAGUGGAAUAUCAUUAAAGCAUAGAGACUAUUAUGUAGGUAGACUGAUGAUCACAUCUCAUAGAUCAUGGAUAAAGAGUUAUCAAGUCUUCACAUAAAUAUAAAUAUUAUGAGUAAUAUUUAUAUUGGAUUGAUCCGCCAUGAGAAUACUACAUAGUAAAAGUUAUGAAAAGUGUCAUAAGA